CUUUCACAUCUCAUUUGAUCUUCAAAGCAACCACGAAAGAGAUACAGAGCUGAUGCUAUAAUUAAUGGUGUUUCCUCUAAUGUUCAGAUGAAGAAAUUAACCCAGUGAUUCGCAAGAGGGCAAAACCUGGAGUGUGAGCUGCCGAGUCAGCACCACAACGGGAGGCUGGACCCAAUUCACGACUUACCCAACAAUCUGUUCUAGGGAUAUUGAAUGAGGAUUUAUAAAAAGCCAGGGUCUUUAGGAGUUUUAUUCUGACUAGUUUCAGAAAAGACUUUAAAGUAAGUAAGUAAGGCAUGAACCUAGCCUUCAAAUAUUCUCUAGUCUUUGAGGAAUAUUAAAGAUAUGUUCCUAAUUACUAUCUUAGGAAGUCAGGGAAGAGAAGAUUUUGAGAGAAACCUGGAUAUGAUGCUGUGGAGAAACAGAAGAGAAAGAUGGACAUUCGUGUACCUCCUUGGAAGUCAAGUAGGAUAUGGGCACUGGAUGAGCGGAAGAGUGGUCCAGGAACAGAGGGAACAGGAUCAAAAGCAGAGGAGGCUAAGGAGAUUAGCUGAAAGCUAGGGAUGUUUUGCCUAGCAGGCUGUAAGCUUGUGGAAGACACACUAACCACAGAGCCUUCCGCAAGACAAUCUGCAGAAGAAACUGUUAUCAGAUUAACCACAACAAAAAUAAAAACUGUUACGGCUCAAAAUGACAGCCAUUUUACCAAAACUUGCAGCGUGCCCAUUGGAAAUUUGGGGGAGGGCUCAGCUGGGCGACUGCCCUGUUUGGUAGAGUCUUCCUUACCAUCACGCUCAUUUAGCUGCUAGGCUGGAAUGGUCUGAAGGAUCCCAGAUGGCUUUUCUCAUGUGGUUGCCUUCCUGGAAGAAAUGUUUGGAGGGCUGAGCUGAACCCCCUUCCUCUCUACAUAAUUUCAGGUGCUAUCUAGUGAUGUAAGACUCUUACAGUGAGAGUUCUAAGAAACAAGAAGUGGAGCCUUCUCAAUCCCUGGGCCUAGAGACAGUCAGCACCACGUCUAACCGCAUUUACUGGUUUUAGCAGGUAUAGAAUCUACCCACGAUCAAGGAAUUGGACCUGUACUUACUUUUCACUGGGAGCACUAUAAAAGUAUUGGAAUAAUUUUUGACUUCUAUGAGCAGUCUCAUUGGAAAUGAAUAGAGG
rnacentral:lncRNA from 1 species